UACGUAGGGGGCAAGCGUUGUCCGGAUUUAUUGGGCGUAAAGAGCGUGUAGGCGGCCGUACAGGUCAGCUGUGAAAACUCGAGGCUCAACCUCGAGACGUCGGUUGAAACCGUACGGCUAGAGUCCGGAAGAGGAGAGUGGAAUUCCACGUGUAGCAGUGAAAUGCGUAGAGAUGUGGAGGAAUACCGAUGGCGAAGGCAGCCCCCUGGGCCAAUACUGACGCUCAUGCACGAAAGCGUGGGGAGCAAACAGG
rnacentral:rRNA from 1 species